rnacentral:rRNA from 1 species
AGUGAACGCUGGCGGUAUGCCUAACACAUGCAAGUCGAACGGCAGCACAGUAAGAGCUUGCUCUUACGGGUGGCGAGUGGCGGACGGGUGAGGUAUACAUCGGAAUCUACUUUUUCGUGGGGGAUAACGUAGGGAAGCUUACUCUAAUACCGCAUACGACCUACGGGUGAAAGCAGUGGAUCUUUUGACCUUUCGCGAUUGAAUGAGCCGAUGUCGGAUUAGCUAGUUGGCGGGGUAAAGGCCCACCAAGGCGACGAUCCGUAGCUGGUCUGAGAGGAUGGUCAGCCACACUGGAACUGAGACACGGUCCAGACUCCUACGGGAGGCAGCAGUGGGGAAUAUUGGACAAUGGGCGCAAGCCUGAUCCAGCCAUACCGCGUGGGUGAAGAAGGCCUUCGGGUUGUAAAGCCCUUUUGUUGGGAAAGAAAAGCAGCAGGUUAAUACCCCGCUGUUCUGACGGUACCCAAAGAAUAAGCACCGGCUAACUUCGUG